rnacentral:lncRNA from 1 species
GCUUCUUGCUGCUUCACCCUUUCAUGGAUCGUCAGGGUUUUAUCAUACAAUGCUGCCACUUGUGGAGGUUACUGUGAGAUGCAUCUUAUUUCCUCAUUUUUACAAAAGGAUCUUAAAUACAAGUUGGGAGCGGCUGAAUCACGUUUGGGACAUAUCUUGAUGCUGAUACUCAAAAUAUGCCAAGUAACUAAAGUUGUAUGGAGAUAGAAUAGCAU